UUCCGGUUGAUCCUGCCGGAGGCGACCGCUAUUGGAGUUCGAUUAAGCCAUGCGAGUAGAAAGAAAUUAGAUUCUUUGCAUACUGCUCAGUAACACGUGGAUAACCUGCCCUACACUGGGGGAUAAUCUCGGGAAACUGAGCAUAAUACCCCAUAGACCACUACGCCUGGAACGGUGAGUGGUUCAAAGCUUCGGCGGUGUAGGAUGGGUCUGCGGCGUAUCAGGUUGUAGGGGGUGUAAUGGACCUCCUAGCCAUCGACGCGUACGGGUUGUGGGAGCAAUAGCCCGGAGACGGAUUCUGAGACACGAAUCCGGACCCUACGGGGUGCAGCAGGCGCGAAAACUUCACACUGCAGGAAACUGUGAUGAGGGAACUCCAAGUGACUGCACAAUGUGUAGCCUUUUCUUGAAUUUUAAUAGUUCUUGGAAUAAGGGCUGGGAAAGACCGGUGCCAGCCGCCGCGGUAAUACCGGCAGCUCGAGUGGUCGUCGCUUUUAUUGGGCCUAAAACGUCCGUAGCCUGUUUGGUAAAUCUGUGGGUAAAUCAACGAGCUUAACUCGUUGAAUUCUGCAGAGACUGCCAGACUAGGGACCGGGAGAGGUAUGAGGUACUCUGGGGGUAGGGGUAAAAUCCUGUCAUCCUUAGAGGACCACCAGUUGCGAAGGCGCCACACUGGAACGGAUCCGACGGUCAGGGACGAAGCCUAGGGGCACGAACCGGAUUAGAUACCCGGGUAGUCCUAGGUGUAAACGCUGUGAACUUGGUGUCGGGGAUCCGUCAUGGGUCCCCGGUGCCGGAGUGAAGAUGUUAAGUUCACUGCCUGGGGAGUACGGUCGCAAGGCUGAAACUUAAAGGAAUUGGCGGGGGAGCACUGCAACGGGAGGAGCGUGCGGUUUAAUUGGAUUCAACGCCGGA
rnacentral:rRNA from 1 species